UCGAACGCCCUGCGCAAGCAGGGAGUGGCGGACGGGUGAGGAACACAUGGGUCACCUACCUUUCAGUGAGGGAUACCGGCGAGAAAUCGCCGACAAUACCGCAUGAGCUCGGUGGCGGUCUGCCGCCGCCGAGGAAAGUCUUGAGAGAGGCGCUGGAAGCUGGGCCCGUGGCCGAUUAGCUGGUUGGUGGGGUAAGGGCUCACCAAGGCGACGAUCGGUAGCUGGUCUGAGAGGACGAUCAGCCACACUGGGAUUGAGAACGGCCCAGACUCCUACGGGGGGCAGCAGUGAGGAAUUUUCGGCAAUGGGGGCAACCCUGACCGAGCAACGCCGCGUGCAGGACGACGGUCUUCGGAUCGUAAACUGCUUUUCUCGGGGAAGAGCGAGGACGGUACCCGAGGAAUCAGCCCCGGCUAACUACGUGCCAGCAGCCGCGGUAAUACGUAGGGGGCGAGCGUUAUCCGGAGUUACUGGGCGUAAAGCGCACGCAGGCGGUCGGGCAAGUGCGGGGUUACAGCUCCCGGCUCAACUGGGAGAGCGCCUCGAAGACUGCUCGACUUGAGGGCCAAAGAGGGACACGGAACUCCGGGUGUAGUGGUGAAAUGCGUAGAUAUCCGGAAGAACACCAAAGGCGAAGGCAGUGUCCUGGGUGGUACCUGACGCUCAGGUGCGAAAGCUAGGGGAGCGAACGGGAUUAGAUACCCCGGUAGUCCUAGCCGUAAACGAUGACCACCAGGUGUGCGGGGUAUCGACCCCCUGCGUGCCGCAGUUAACGCACUAAGUGGUCCGCCUG
rnacentral:rRNA from 1 species